AUGACUAUAUCACAUUGAUACACUGGUUCUCAUAUGAUCACCAAAGUUAAGCAACAUUGAGCCUGGUCAGUACCUAGAUUAGUGACUGCUUGGGAAUACCAGAUGGUGUAAG